rnacentral:rRNA from 1 species
AUUGAACGCUGGCGGCAUGCCUUACACAUGCAAGUCGAACGGCAGCAUGGAGAGCUUGCUCUCUGAUGGCGAGUGGCGAACGGGUGAGUAAAGCAUCGGAACGUACCGUGUAGUGGGGGAUAACGUAGCGAAAGUUACGCUAAUACCGCAUACGCACUGAGGUGGAAAGCAGGGGAUCGUAAGACCUUGCGCUAUACGAGCGGCCGAUGUCAGAUUAGUUAGUCGGUAGGGUAAAGGCCUACCAAGGCGAGGAUCUGUAGCGGGUCUGAGAGGGUGGUCCGCCACACUGGGACGGGGACACGGCCCAGACUCCUACGGGAGGCAGCAGUGGGGAAUUUUGGACAAUGGGUGCAACCCUGAUCCAGCCAUGCCGCGUGAGUGAAGAAGGCUUUCGGGUGGUAAAGCUCUUUCGGCCGUGAAGAAAUCGCACAGGCUAAUACCCUGUGUGGAUGACGGUACCGGCAUAAGAAGCACCGGCUAACUACGUGCCAGCAGCCGCCGUAA